rnacentral:rRNA from 1 species
AAAUUGAAGAGUUUGAUCAUGGCUCAGAUUGAACGCUGGCGGCAGGCCUAACACAUGCAAGUCGAACGGUAACAGGAAGAAGCUUGCUUCUUUGCUGACGAGUGGCGGACGGGUGAGUAAUGUCUGGGAAACUGCCUGAUGGAGGGGGAUAACUACUGGAAACGGUAGCUAAUACCGCAUAACGUCGCAAGACCAAAGAGGGGGACCUUCGGGCCUCUUGCCAUCGGAUGUGCCCAGAUGGGAUUAGCUAGUAGGUGGGGUAACGGCUCACCUAGGCGACGAUCCCUAGCUGGUCUGAGAGGAUGACCAGCCACACUGGAACUGAGACACGGUCCAGACUCCUACGGGAGGCAGCAGUGGGGAAUAUUGCACAAUGGGCGCA